rnacentral:rRNA from 1 species
GCAAGUCGAACGAAGCAUUUGCGAUAGAUUUCUUCGGAAUGAAAUUGCUUAUGACUGAGUGGCGGACGGGUGAGUAACGCGUGGGUAACCUGCCUUGUACUGGGGGAUAGCAGCUGGAAACGGCUGGUAAUACCGCAUAAGCGCACAAUGUUGCAUGACAUGGUGUGAAAAACUCCGGUGGUAUAAGAUGGACCCGCGUCUGAUUAGCUAGUUGGUGAGAUAACAGCCCACCAAGGCGACGAUCAGUAGCCGACCUGAGAGGGUGACCGGCCACAUUGGGACUGAGACACGGCCCAGACUCCUACGGGAGGCAGCAGUGGGGAAUAUUGCACAAUGGAGGAAACUCUGAUGCAGCGACGCCGCGUGAGUGAAGAAGUAAUUCGUUAUGUAAGGCUCUAUCAGCAGGGAAGAUAGUGACGGUACCUGACUAAGAAGCUCCGGCUAAAUACGUGCCAGCAGCCGCGGUAAUACGUAUGGAGCAAGCGUUAUCCGGAUUUACUGGGUGUAAAGGGAGUGUAGGUGGCCAUGCAAGUCAGAAGUGAAAAUCCGGGGCUCAACCCCGGAACUGCUUUUGAAACUGUAAGGCUGGAGUGCAGGAGGGGUGAGUGGAAUUCCUAGUGUAGCGGUGAAAUGCGUAUAUAUUAGGAGGAACACCAGUGGCGAAGGCGGCUCACUGGACUGUAACUGAC